rnacentral:rRNA from 1 species
UGGGGAAUAUUGCGCAAUGGGGGGAACCCUGACGCAGCCAUGCCGCGUGAAUGAAGAAGGCCUUAGGGUUGUAAAGUUCUUUCGGUAUUGAGGAAGGUUGAUGUGUUAAUAGCACAUCAAAUUGACGUUAAAUACAGAAGAAGCACCGGCUAACUCCGUGCCAGCAGCCGCGGUAAUACGGAGGGUGCGAGCGUUAAUCGGAAUAACUGGGCGUAAAGGGCACGCAGGCGGUUAUUUAAGUGAGGUGUGAAAGCCCCGGGCUUAACCUGGGAAUUGCAUUUCAGACUGGGUAACUAGAGUACUUUAGGGAGGGGUAGAAUUCCACGUGUAGCGGUGAAAUGCGUAGAGAUGUGGAGGAAUACCGAAGGCGAAGGCAGCCCCUUGGGAAUGUACUGACGCUCAUGUGCGAAAGCGUGGGGAGCAAACAGGAUUAGAUACCCUGGUAGUCCACGCUGUAAACGCUGUCGAUUUGGGGGUUGGGGUUUAACUCUGGCGCCCGUAGCUAACGUGAUAAAUCGACCGCCUGGGGAGUACGGCCGCAAGGUCA